GACGAACGCUGGCGGCGUGCUUCAUACAUGCAAGUCGAACGAGAAGCUGACUUCGGUCAGUGGAAAGUGGCGGACGGGUGAGUAAUAUGUAGGAAAUCUGCCUUUAGGAGGGGGACAACAGAGGGAAACUUCUGCUAAUACCCCAUAUGAGCGUAGCUGAAAUGCUAUUCUUGAAAACUCCGGUGCCUAAAGAUGAGCCUGCAUCUGAUUAGCUAGUUGGUAGUGUAAUGGACUACCAAGGCGACGAUCAGUAGCUGGUUUGAGAGGAUGAUCAGCCACAAUGGGACUGAGACACGGCCCCUACUCCUACGGGAGGGAGCAGUAGGGAAGUUUGCGCCAUGGGCGAAAGCCUGACGCAGCAACGCCGCGUGAACGAUUAAGCCCUUCGGGGUGUAAAGUUCUGUCAGUGGGGACGAAACUUGACGGUACCCACAGAGGAAGCACCGGCUAACUCCGUG
rnacentral:rRNA from 1 species